UAGAUGCUGGAUUCGCAGCCUCUCGGCCUCUUCCACGAAGGGACGCUUGUCGCUGGCGCUCAGCGCUUUCCACGACUGGCCUGCAAGGGGAAAGCGAGGCUCUGUGAAACCGGCUCGGCUUCCCGGCCAGGGCGCGGGGCACCCGAGGAUGGGACGUUUUGGGUACGGGGAGGGCUCCUGGGACCAUCUCAGCGCUUAACCUGGGUCCCAGCGCUUGCACGAGGGAGGGCUGGGAAACGGGAGCGAUCCCCUGAGCAGGGCUCCGGCGCUGCCCCCCGGCAGCAGACGGCGGGUUGUGCCCAGCGUUUUGGAGCGGAGCAGGGAGAAAGGGCGAUGCAAAGCCCUGGGGAGGCGAAGGACGGACCCCCUCCGCGAGGGCAGGUCCCGGGCAGCUGCCCGGGCUGGGCAGGGGGCUCUGGCUUCCCUGCAUCCCGCAGCCUGCAUCCUCAAUCCCCUAUCCCCAAAUGCCUCAUCCUGCAGCCCCAUAUCCUGAAUCCCUUAUCUCUGCACCCGGCAGCUGUGUCCCUCCCUGCAUCCCCCAUCCUGCAGCCCAUAUCCUGCUUCCCAUGUUCCUGCAUCCUGCAGCCCUGUCUACCCAUAUCCCGCUUCCCGUAUUCCCACAUCCUGCAUCCUACAGCCCCGUAUCCCCCGUGUCCUGUAUCCUGCAGCCCCAUAUCCCACAUUCUGCAGCCUCGUAUCCCUGUAUCCCGCACCCCUGCAGCCCUGUAUCCCCACAGCCCUGAACCCCACAUCCCACUGCCCUGUAUCUCUGCGUCCCACAGCCCCAGGUCCCCACACCCCAUAUCCCUGCAUCCCACAAACCUAUAUUCCCGCAUCCCGCAGCCCUGUGUCCUUGCAGCCUGCACCCCGCAGUGCUGCAUCCUGCAGUCCCACGUCCUUGCAGGCUGCAGCCCUGCAUCCCGCAGCCUUGCAUCCUUGCAGCCCACAUCCCACCGCCCUGUAUCCCUGCAGGCUACAGCCCAGCAGAGCGCUCGCAGCCUUGCGUCCUUGUCGCCCACAUCCCGCAGCCCCAAAUCCUUGCAGCCCACAUCCUGCAGCCCUGCAGCCUUGCACCCCCCAGCCCCGUAUCCCGGCCGCCUGCAGCCUGCAUCCCUGCGUCCUCACUUCUGCAGCGCCGUAUCCUUGCAGCUCGCAGCCUGCAUCCCACAGCCCCGCACCUUUGCAGCCCUGCGUCCCACAGCUCUGCAUCCUCGCAGCCCGCAUCCCACAGCCCUCUCUACCCUGGCAGCCUGCAUCCCGCAGCCCUGUAACCUUGCAUCCCGCCCCCCGCAGCCCCGUAUCCUUGCAUCCCGGCUCCCGCAGCCCUGUAUCCUUGCGUCCUGGCUCCCGCAGCCCUGUACCCUUGGUCCCGGCUCCCGCAGCCCCAUAUCUUUCCACCCCAGCUCCCGCAGCCCUGUGUCCUUGCCUCCCGGCUCCCGCAGCCCUGUAUCCUUGCCUCCCGGCUCCCGCAGCCCCGUAUCCUCGCCUCCCGGCUCCCGCAGCCCCGUGUCCUCGCCUCCCGGCUCCCGCAGCUCCGUAUCCUCGCCUCCCGGCUCCCGCAGCCCCGUGUCCUUGCAUCCCGGCUCCCGCAGCCCCGCACGGUGCCCUCGCGGCGCCCGCAGCCCCGCACCGGCGGCGCGGCCCCGCUCACCCAGCAUCUUGCUGAGCACNNNNNNNNNNNN
ensembl:lncRNA